rnacentral:tRNA from 1 species
UGCGGGAUAGAGCAGUGGUAGCUCACUGGGCUCAUAACCCAGAGGUCGGAGGUUCGAAUCCUUCUCCCGCCA